GAUGAACGCUGGCGGCGUGCCUAAUACAUGCAAGUCGAGCGAACAGACGAGGAGCUUGCUCCUUUGACGUUAGCGGCGGACGGGUGAGUAACACGUGGGUAACCUACCUAUAAGACUGGGAUAACUUCGGGAAACCGGAGCUAAUACCGGAUAAUAUUUCGAACCGCAUGGUUCGAUAGUGAAAGAUGGCUUUGCUAUCACUUAUAGAUGGACCUGCGCCGUAUUAGCUAGUUGGUAAGGUAACGGCUUACCAAGGCAACGAUACGUAGCCGACCUGAGAGGGUGAUCGGCCACACUGGAACUGAGACAUGGUCCAGACUCCUACGGGAGGCAGCAGUAGGGAAUCUUCCGCAAUGGGCGAAAGCCUGACGGAGCAACGCCGCGUGAGUGAUGAAGGUCUUCGGAUCGUAAAACUCUGUUAUUAGGGAAGAACAAACGUGUAAGUAACUGUGCACGUCUUGACGGUACCUAAUCAGAAAGCCACGGCUAACUACGUG
rnacentral:rRNA from 1 species